AGAAUAUGUCUGACAAAAGAAUUACUUUGAUAGAGUAAUUAUAGGGAUUUAAACCCCCUUAUUUCUA
rnacentral:tRNA from 1 species